rnacentral:rRNA from 1 species
UACGGGGGGGGCAAGCGUUGUUCGGAAUUACUGGGCGUAAAGGGCUCGUAGGUGGCCAACUAAGUCAGACGUGAAAUCCCUCGGCUUAACCGGGGAACUGCGUCUGAUACUGGAUGGCUUGAGUUCGGGAGAGGGAUGCGGAAUUCCGGGUGUAGCGGUGGAAUGCGUAGAGAUCCGGAGGAAGACCGGUGGCGGAGGCGGUCUGCUGGGCAGUUUCUGACACUGAUGCGCGACAGCGUGGGGAGCAAACAGG